rnacentral:rRNA from 1 species
AUUGAACGCUGGCGGCAUGCCUUACACAUGCAAGUCGAACGGUAACGCGGGGCAACCUGGCGACGAGUGGCGAACGGGUGAGUAAUGUAUCGGAACGUGCCCAGUUGUGGGGGAUAACUGCUCGAAAGAGCAGCCAAUACCGCAUACGACCUGAGGGUGAAAGCGGGGGAUCGCAAGACCUCGCGCAGUUGGAGCGGCCGAUAUCAGAUUAGGUAGUUGGUGGGGUAAAGGCUCACCAAGCCAACGAUCUGUAGCUGGUCUGAGAGGACGACCAGCCACACUGGGACUGAGACACGGCCCAGACUCCUACGGGAGGCAGCAGUGGGGAAUUAUGGACAAUGGGCGCAAGCCUGAUCCAGCCAUGCCGCGUGCGGGAAGAAGGCCUUCGGGUUGUAAACCGCUUUUGUCAGGGAAGAAAAGACUCCUGUUAAUACCGGGGGUUCAUGACGGUACCUGAAGAAUAAGCACCGGCUAACUACGUGCCAGCCGCCGCCGUAAGAC